rnacentral:tRNA from 1 species
CGGCGUGUAGCGCAGUCAGGUAGCGCAUCCCGUUUGGGGCGGGAUGGUCGGGAGUUCGAAUCUCUCCGCGCCGACCA